GACGAACGCUGGCGGCGUGCUUAACACAUGCAAGUCGGACGGUAAGGCCCUUCGGGGUACACGAGUGGCGAACGGGUGAGUAACACGUGGGUGAUCUGCCCUGCACUUCGGGAUAAGCCUGGGAAACUGGGUCUAAUACCGGAUAGGACCACUGCCUGCAUGGGGGGUGGUGGAAAGCUUUUGCGGUGUGGGAUGGGCCCGCGGCCUAUUAGCUUGUUGGUGGGGUGAUGGCCUACCAAGGCGACGACGGGUAGCCGGCCUGAGAGGGUGACCGGCCACACUGGGACUGAGAUACGGCCCAGACUCCUACGGGAGGCAGCAGUGGGGAAUAUUGCACAAUGGGCGCAAGCCUGAUGCAGCGACGCCGCGUGAGGGAUGACGGCCUUCGGGUUGUAAACCUCUUUCAGCACCGACGAAGCGCAAGUGACGGUAGGUGCAGAAGAAGGACCGGCCAACUACGUGCCAGCAGCCGCCGUAACAC
rnacentral:rRNA from 1 species